GAUGAACGCUGGCGGCGUGCCUAAUACAUGCAAGUCGAGCGAACAGACGAGGAGCUUGCUCCUCUGACGUUAGCGGCGGACGGGUGAGUAACACGUGGAUAACCUACCUAUAAGACUGGGAUAACUUCGGGAAACCGGAGCUAAUGCCGGAUAAUAUAUUGAACCGCAUGGUUCAAUAGUGAAAGACGGUUUUGCUGUCACUUAUAGAUGGAUCCGCGCCGCAUUAGCUAGUUGGUAAGGUAACGGCUUACCAAGGCAACGAUGCGUAGCCGACCUGAGAGGGUGAUCGGCCACACUGGAACUGAGACACGGUCCAGACUCCUACGGGAAGCAGCAGUAGGGAAUCUUCCGCAAUGGGCGAAAGCCUGACGGAGCAACGCCGCGUGAGUGAUGAAGGUCUUCGGAUCGUAAAACUCUGUUAUUAGGGAAGAACAAAUGUGUAAGUAACUAUGCACGUCUUGACGGCACCUAAUCAGAAAGCCACGGCUAACUACGUG
rnacentral:rRNA from 1 species